GGGUUCGGAGCAUGCUGCUGCGCUCCGGAGGAGAGGGAUGGUCGGGCCGCCAUCA
rnacentral:ncRNA from 2 species